UUGUAACUGGAGGAAAGCAAUGGAGCCUGCAUUCCAUGGUAUUUACCAAUAUAUGCCUUCAAGAGGUGUCUAAACUCCUUCCCAGUAACUGAUUAGCCAGUCUGUGCUAGCGGGAAGUCUCCAUGGCCCUCCUCAGCACACAGCUCCUUGUUAACGCUGGAGCGGUGCGCCAUCGUCUGGGAAAGCCGGGAACGGCCUGGAAGGUGAAGAUAAUCUUUGUUCAUACAGGUGUGUCAGACUUGUUCUCACAGGGGGCCUGGAAACAGGAACAUGAGAAAUCUGUUAAAAAAUGCAGAAUAAUUGUAUGCUACGUUGAAAUAUGGAGCAUCAUCUUAACUAUGAAAAUGGUUUUUUACAGUGCUUUUCUCAAAAAUUCUGUUUUGCAAUUAAAAGGCCAGAUACUAGAAUUAUACAGUAACUAGUUUUAUAAGUUCACAUUUCAUCAGUUUAUUUAGGGGUUUAUUAAAUAAUUUCUUUGUGUGUGCUUUUGGAAAAAGAAAUAGAAAGAUUGCAGGGACUUGGGUGUUCUUAAUGCACCUUUGAUAAAAGCAAAAUUUAGUCGCCUUGC